rnacentral:lncRNA from 1 species
AGGAUCAAAAUUCCAUUUUGCCUCUUUUGGUUUUUCAAAGAUUGUCAGAAUUCCGAAAGUGACCAUGUUUUAAAAUUAUACUUCAUCUAUGUAUUGUAUCUUUAUUGAAUGUAAAAAAAAAUUCCUGAAACAGAAAUUUUUUACCAUGUCAUUAUUGACAUUAGACAUCAUUGUCAUCAUCAACAUUAUUAAAUACAUUUUCUAGAACAGGUUUUGGGGGAAUCAGUAUGGUCAAAGUGGUGAAAAAGGGGAAUAAAAUGAGGUAGAACUCAUAAAGGAUUUAUUUUAUUUAAGAAGGUCGGCAUAAACAUAAAACAGGAAAUAAGCAUGCAAAUGAGUCUACAUCCACCGUCAAAUGAGGUGCUAGUGAGUAGUAAUGUGAAUCCAGAGGAGGAACAUUCACUGAACAACACAAUGCUUAGUGAAGGGCUUUAGAAGGACGAGACUCAGCAUGGGCUCUUGGGCCUCUCACCAAAUUCAACCUGAGAGAUGCCAAAACAAAGAAAAUAAAGUUGAGGGGCCGAGCUUGGUGGCUCACGCCUGUAAUCCCAACACUUUGCGAGGCCGAGGUGGACGGAUCACUUGAGGUCAAGAGUUUAAGACCAGCCGGGCCAACAUGGUGAAACCCUGUCUUUACUAAAAAUAUAAAAAUUAGCUGGGAGUGGUGGCCCGUGGUUCCAGCUACUUGGGAGGCUGAAGCAGGAGAAUCGCUUGAACCCAGGAGGCGAAGGUGGCAGUGAGCCGAGA